AGGACGAACGCUGGCGGCGUGCCUAAUGCAUGCAAGUCGCACGGCAGGAGCUUGCUCCCGCAGUGGCGCACGGCUGAGGAACACGUGGGAAUCGACCCGGCGGUGGGGGACAACCCGGCGAAAGCCGGGCUAAUCCCGCAUCCGUUCCCCCUCGGGGGAAGAAAGCGCUCACGCGCGCCGCCGGACGAGCCCGCGCCCCAUCAGGUUGUUGGCGGGUAAUGGCCCACAAGCCCGUGACGGUCGCUGGUCUGUGAGGACGACCAGCCAGACUGGGACUGAGAACGGCCCAGACUCCUACGGGAGGCAGCAGCAAGGAAUUUUCGGCAAUGGGCGCAAGCCUGACCGAGCAACGCCGCGUGGUGGACGACGGCCUUCGGGUUGUAAACACCGUUUUGGGGGAUGACUUCGACCGUACCCCCGAAUAACGCCCGGCUAACUCUGUGCCAGCAGCCGC
rnacentral:rRNA from 1 species